CGAGUAGGCGGAUAGACAAGUCAGAUGUGAAAUCUGGGGGCUUAACCCCCAAACUGCAUUUGAAACUGUAUAUCUUGAGUGAUGGAGAGGCAGGCGGAAUUCCCGGUGUAGCGGUGGAAUGCGUAGAUAUCGGGAGGAACACCAGUGGCGAAGGCGGUCUCCUGGACAGAUACUGACACUGAGGUGCGAAAGCGUGGGCAGCAAACA
rnacentral:rRNA from 1 species